rnacentral:rRNA from 1 species
UACAGAGGGUGCAAGCGUUGUUCGGAAUCACUGGGCGUAAAGGGUGCGUAGGCGGGUUUCUAAGUCAGGUGUUUAAUCCCGGGGCCCAACCCCGGACAGGCACUUGAAACUGGAAAUCUUGAAUAGUGGAGAGGUCAGUGGAAUUGGGGGUGUAGCGGUGGAAUGCGUAGAGAUCCCCAAGAACACCAGUUGCGAAGGCGGCUGACUGGACACAUAUUGACGCUGAGGCUCGAAAGCAUGGGGAGCAAACAGG